rnacentral:lncRNA from 1 species
AAUUACCUAAUAAGCUAGAAGAGGACAUAAAUUUUUGGCUAAAUUAUAGAAAACCUCCUUGUAAAAUAUUUAUUUUUUUUCACUUUUUAUUCCUAACUUUUAAUUAGAAACCUUUAUUUUAACCCCUCAAUAUUUCAAUUUGUUACAUUUAGUUAGGCCCCCUCCGUCAGUAUUCAUCACUAUUCUANUACUAUACUAUUAUGAGUACGAUCGGCCUCGUACUCAUAAGUUGUUUUCGAUGAUAGAGCUUCCGAAUUGACGAUCCACACCGUUAAACGUUAUUUACAACAUUUAAAACUUCUAGAAAUCAAAUUUUAUAAUUUUUCAACAUCAUUUACUUACGAUCAAGAGGUCACAAAUUUGACAAUUUUUAACGGCCGGUAUGGAAUACUUGCUAGUUUAACGGUGUAAAAGAAUUGAAAUUUGUUGAAUUUUUUAUAGAAAAUUCUAUUUACUACAUAGAUAAAGAUCAAUAACUCCGAUCUUGAAUUGAAGGAUCCGAUCAUCUUUUUUUAGGACGUCGUUUGAUUUUGACCGUUCAUUUUAUGCCCACUUGAUGGACUUUAUUAUGAGUUCGAAAAUUUAUAAAAUUUAUUUUCUAGAAGUUUCAAAUAUUCUAGAUCAUAUUUAACGGAAUGGAUUGUCGAUUCGGAAGCUUCAUCAUUGAAAACAACUUAUGAGUACGAGGGCUCCACUACUCAUAAUAGUAUAGUAGCCAUGGCCUAUAUAUAUAUAUAUAUAUAUAUAUAUAUUAUUAUAGAAUAAGUAAGGGCAAUGCUAUCGCCCUUUUUAUUAACACCCGUAUUUUUCUAAAAAUAUUUAUAAAAUUUUAAAACGACAAAAUGUAAAAUUUUGAAAGUGGUGAAAAAAAAGUAAAAAAGCGAAUAUUUGCAGAGAUUUUUUCUGUAAUUUAUCCUAAAUUUUUUAAAUAUUUUU